CACGGGUGAGUAACACGUAUCCAACCUGCCGUCUACUCUUGACAGCCUUCUGAAAGGAAGAUUAAUACAAGAUGGCAUCAUGAGUCCGCAUGUUCACAUGAUUAAAGGUAUUCCGGUAGACGAUGGGGAUGCGUUCCAUUAGAUAGUAGGCGGGGUAACGGCCCACCUAGUCUUCGAUGGAUAGGGGUUCUGAGAGGAAGGUCCCCACAUUGGAACUGAGACACGGUCCAA
rnacentral:rRNA from 1 species